rnacentral:rRNA from 1 species
UACAGAGGUCCCAAACGUUGUUCGGAUUCAUUGGGCGUAAAGGGUGCGUAGGCGGCGCGGUAAGUCGGGUGUGAAAUCUCGGAGCUUAACUCCGAAACUGCAUUCGAUACUGCCGUGCUUGAGGACUGGAGAGGAGACUGGAAUUUACGGUGUAGCGGUGAAAUGCGUAGAUAUCGUAAGGAAGACCAGUGGCGAAGGCGGGUCUCUGGACAGUUCCUGACGCUGAGGCACGAAGGCCAGGGGAGCAAACGGG